ACCACAGGGCAAACACCUUUGAACUUACAAGGAAAAAAGAAGGGGAAAUAAGGGGCAAAGUACAAACCGAAAAUUCUGAGAAAUUGCUAGUACUUUCCAGAGACACUGAUCUUGUAAUAAGACAAAAACAAAUUCAAAGAAAAUUACACAGUGUUUGGUUUAAGAGAAUUUAGGAGGAAAGAAAACAAAGGGAAAGAAAAUGGGUGGAAAAUUUAAUUUUCCUCUGUUUGGAUCAGCAGGGAAAUUGCUUGGAAAACAAAAAAACGUAUGUAGGGCUCAGCUUAAUUUUUUCCGCCCAAAGCUGCGAAGAAAACUGGGAUGAAAGUUCUAAAAUGGAUAAAAUUACAUAUAUGCCCUUUCAUUAGUAGCAGAACAAAAUCCCUAAUUCACUCUUUUGAAAAGAAAAACACGUCUCUUCUUCUUCCCUGUUUUCCCGUCAUCUUCAACAGCGACGCCAGUGCUUCCUAACUCCGUCGGCAUCGCUGCAUGAGCUUCAUCAUCGUAGUGACAGCUCCACCGCAUCUUCAUCCCUGCAUCCUCAUGCCAAAGGAUUGUUCUGUUCUUUAACUGCUCUCUCUUCUCUCCUCUUCUCCAAGGGGCAAUUUUCUCGGAAGCUUCAGAGGAAAAAAACAGAAGAACCAUCAUAAAAGAAACACAGAGUGUACCUUAGAAACAAAGCAGAAGGAGUCUUUUGCUGGCAUUGAAACAGUUUAUUUCAGAAACAACCACACGCACACCAAGUGUUUGUUGGUUUGAUACAAAGCAAAGAGUGCUUGAAGUUGAUCCAAGGUCAUUAAAGGACUUGGAAGAUUUUGUGCUAAGUAUUUAACAAGAGGGACAAGUUAGUAUGGUGCAGCCAUCAAAUUAAAGGCAGAGGCCUACUUGAUGUUGGACUGUUUCUUCCAUCGCGGUACAUCUUCGACAGGUUGGGGGUAUUGUUCUGAUUCUUCCAUGGAGUUGUUGGUUCACUGGCAAUCCCUUGUGCAUUACUUUCCAGAAGAAGAUUCUUAUUUUCGGCUGCACUUUCAGGUCCCAAAUAGAAGUCCAGAGCUUCUUCUGCCGGCAGUGGAGUGGCAUCAGCUCGAGUGGAGGGUGGUAGAACAAGUGCGCCAGUAAAUAUCCUGAAGCCACGGUGUAGCAACCCUUUUUCUCCCUUGGCCAGGGUUGGCUAUUAUGCAACAAAGUAGGCCUCGCUUUUAUAGCGAAUCAGAUGUAUGGGAUAUGUUGUCUGAAUUGGGUCUGAUAGGUUCAGCUCGGAUGCAGUGUUAUCAGUUUUUAUGUGAAAAUGAGCAGAAAAAGCGCCAAAUCUUUGGGAUCCCACCUGAAAUGCGAUUGGAUGCUCUUUUUCAUUUCAUGACAGCUGCUGGUGUUCGCUUAGGAGAUAUGGUACUUUCAUAAAACAUUAACCAUUACAGGAAUCAUAACUUGAAAAUGUUUGGGAACAAGAAGGUCACAGCUUAGCACAAGUAAAAUUUGAUCAUGUGUUAAUAUUUUUGAGUCGGAGAAACUUUAUUUUUUUGAAGUAGAUGGGUACAGAUGACUCCAACUAUGUAGAUUUUAUUUUUUGGAAGUAGGCGAUGUCGCUGACCAUGAAGAAUUACCCUUUUGAAAAGUGUUGUUUGGUGAUAAAAUAGUACUCUCUAGGAGUUCUUUUGGUUAUUACUUUUUUGGCGUUUUGUUAUAUGUUUAUAAAAAUUGUAUAUGAUUUUUGGCCUCACAUACUUGGAAAGAAAUGCUACCAAGUUUUGAGAAUAUUUUAUUUUGUAAUUACAAUUUAGUGAAUUUUUUUUAAA